AACGAUGAAGCCCGUGCUUGCACGGGUGGAUUAGUGGCGAACGGGUGAGUAUCACGUGAGUAACCUGCCCUUGACUCUGGGAUAAGCCUGGGAAACUGGGUCUAAUACCGGAUAUGACCAGUCCUCGCAUGAGGUGCUGGUGGAAAGAUUUUAUCGGUCUUGGAUGGACUCGCGGCCUAUCAGCUAGACGGUGAGGUAACGGCUCACCGUGGCGAUGACGGGUAGCCGGCCUGAGAGGGUGACCGGCCACACUGGGACUGAGACACGGCCCAGACUCCUACGGGAGGCAGCAGUGGGGAAUAUUGCACAAUGGGCGCAAGCCUGAUGCAGCGACGCCGCGUGCGGGAUGACGGCCUUCGGGUUGUAAACCGCUUUCAGCAGGGAAGAAGCUUUUGUGACGGUACCUGCAGAAGAAGCGCCGGCUAACUACGUGCCAGCAGCCGCGGUAAUACGUAGGGCGCGAGCGUUAUCCGGAAUUAUUGGGCGUAAAGAGCUCGUAGGCGGCUUGUCGCGUCUGCUGUGAAAGCCCGGGGCUUAACCCCGGGUGUGCAGUGGGUACGGGCAGGCUAGAGUGCAGUAGGGGAGACUGGAAUUCCUGGUGUAGCGGUGAAAUGCGCAGAUAUCAGGAGGAACACCGAUGGCGAAGGCAGGUCUCUGGGCUGUUACUGACGCUGAGGAGCGAAAGCAUGGGGAGCGAACAGGAUUAGAUACCCUGGUAGUCCAUGCCGUAAACGUUGGGCACUAGGUGUGGGGGACA
rnacentral:rRNA from 1 species